rnacentral:sRNA from 1 species
GUUAAACAAGUGCUUGAAGGCAGUAUGCUUGGUAAAAGUCAUCGCCAUUCUCUAAUCUUGAGUACCCAGGGACACGAUACACUGCGGAAGGCUGCAGGGACCUCUGCCCAGGAAAGCCAGGUGGUUUCCAAAAGGAAAAGCUUUGGGAGAUAGAAGUCCUCGUUUUGACCUCUGCCCUCCUUGUACACCAGGAGCCAGAAAAACUUCAUCUCUUUUACAAGAAACAUUGAGAUUCCUGUAAAAUUAAGAAAUCACACAAUUUGAUGGUCUACAUUAUCUAAAGCAAAUGAGACUUCUAUUUGGAACAAAGACUACCUUGUUGGGAAAUGAGUCUGCAAGUUAAAGUGUUUUCUGGAUCCAGUAUCUGCCGGAGGAGCCCCACCUUCUGCUACUAUUAUGUUCUUCAGAUGAGUAGAAGAGAGUGGGGAGGGAGAGAGCAGGAAGAAGAAAGGAAGAAUAAUGUCUUGAAAUUGUUUUCUAAGGAUAAUGGUCUCCAGCUUCGUCAAUGUUCCUGCAAAGGACAUGAUGCUGACUUUGAAGAUGCAAGCUUCCACAUCUACAGCCUCAAGGAAACAAAUUCAGCCAACCAACUGAGGGAGCUUUCCUUGUCCUGCCUCAAGAUGAGAUCACAGUCUGCCCAACACCAUGAUUUAAGCCUUGUGACACCUGGUAUGGAAGACCCAAGCUCAGAUGGAAAAGAAUGGUGUUACUGAGACCCUUCAAGAUUCCCAGUGUAAUUCAAUAAAGAAAAGGCAACACAAAGGGGUUGUAUAGAAUUCGCCACAUUAUGGACCCAUGUCAUAGAGAGAAUCCACGGUGCAUUUGUUAGCUGCAUUUAAAUUACAACACUUUCAGAUCCAAGAUUUAUUUGGGAUAAAAAUUUACCUGGAUGCAAGGCUAUUCAGAAUGAAGAUUAAUGAUAUGGUUUGGCUGUGUCCCCACCCAAACUUCAUCUUGAAUUCCCACGUGUUGUGAGAGGGACCUGGUGGGAGAUAAUUGAACCAUGGGGGCAGGUCUUUCUCAUGCUGUUCUCAUGAGAGUGAAUAAGUCUCAUGAAACCUGAUGGUUUUAUAAGGGGGAAUUUCCCUGCACAAGCUCUCUCUCUGCCUUUUGCCAUCCAUGUAAGACGUGACUUGGUCCUCCUUGCCUUCUACCAUGAUUAUGAGGCCUCCCCAGCCACGUGGAACUGUGAGUCCAUUAAACCUCUUUCUUUUGUAAA